rnacentral:rRNA from 1 species
UGAGGAAUAUUGGUCAAUGGGCGAGAGCCUGAACCAGCCAAGUCGCGUGAGGGAAGAAUGGUCUAUGGCCUGUAAACCUCUUUUGCCAGGGAAGAAUAAAUUGCACGCGUGCGAUCUUGCCAGUACCUGACGAAUAAGCAUCGGCUAACUCCGUGCCAGCAGCCGCGGUAAUACGGGGGAUGCGAGCGUUAUCCGGAUUUAUUGGGUUUAAAGGGCGCGUAGGCGGGACGCCAAGUCAGCGGUAAAAGACUGCAGCUAAACUGUAGCACGCCGUUGAAACUGGCGACCUCGAGACGAGACGAGGGAGGCGGAACAAGUGAAGUAGCGGUGAAAUGCUUAGAUAUCACUUGGAACCCCGAUAGCGAAGGCAGCUUCCCAGGCUUGAUCUGACGCUGAUGCGCGAGAGCGUGGGUAGCGAACAGGAUUAGAUACCCUGGUAGUCCACGCCGUAAACGAUGCUCACUGGAUCUUGGCGAUACACUGCCAGGGUUCAAGCGAAAGUAUUAAGUGAGCCACCUGGGGAGUACGUCGGCAACGAUGAAACUCAAAGGAAUUGACGGGGGCCCGCACAAGCGGAGGAACAUGUGGUUUAAUUCGAUGAUACGCGAGGAACCUUACCCGGGUUUAAAUGUGGAGUGCAUGAGCUGGAAACAGUUCUUUCCCUCGGGACUCUUCACAAGGUGCUGCAUGGUUGUCGUCAGCUCGUGCCGUGAGGUGUCGGGUUAAGUCCCAUAACGAGCGCAACCCCUAUCGCCAGUUGCCAGCGGCUGAGGCCGGGCACUCUGUCGAGACUGCCACCGUAAGGUGCGAGGAAGGCGGGGAUGACGUCAAAUCAGCACGGCCCUUACACCCGGGGCGACACACGUGUUACAAUGGCCGGUACAGAGGGCAGCCACGGGGUGACCCGGAGCGAAUCUCUAAAGCCGGUCGUAGUUCGGACUGGAGUCUGCAACCCGACUCCACGAAGUUGGAUUCGCUAGUAAUCGCGCAUCAGCCAUGGCGCGGUGAAUACGUUCCC